CAUUCUGCAAGAGAAAAAAGAGAAAAUUAAAACAAGUCAUUCGGAGUUUAGAAAUCUUUAUGCUGUUGUUUAUGUUUGAGGUACACUAGUUUGGUUUCUCGAUACCUUUAAUCAUAGAAUCUGGAUAAAAGCUAGAGAGAGAAGGCCCAAAGUUCUCGAAUGACAGAUGGUCAUAAAUUCAGGCUUUGAAUACAUAUUUAAGAUGCAAGAUUGCUCCAUGUAACAAUUCACCGUUGAAUGCAGUUGCUGCACUCCUAUCUAACGGCGCCACUAAAUAAAAAAUUUAAAUGGGACCAAUAAAGCCUCUAAAACGCAAUAUGCUUUUUCAACCAAGUAAGAAAAGACAAAAGUCGGGCGAUGACGACUUAUAUAAUACCCUUCAUUUACCCUUUAAGUAUUAAUGGGGUGAUGUCAUUGAAUGUAGGUGUUCAGAUUGGUAAAGAUUAAUCCGUACCAAAUUUCAUGGUUAUCUAAGCGAUAAUCGGGCGAAUUUUAUAGUUGUUUAAAUUAAAUUAAACAAAUUAAAAGGAUUAAAAAGUUGGAUACCCACCACCUCGGGUAUAUAUGUAACCACCUUUCGUCACAAUCUGGUGAAAAUGCAUAGUUUAUGCCCCCAUAGCAGCUAAAUCGAAAUAUGGUCCAAUUUGGACUAAAUUCGGCGUGGAAAUUGAGUGGUCUAGUAAAUACAAGUCAUUGUUAAAAUUGUAGAACAAAAAUAUCGGUCUUUUUGGUAGCUAUAUCCAAAUAUAUACCGAUUUUAACCAUAUACGACACGGAUGUUCAAAUGCCGAACACAACUAACUGUCCCAAAUUUCGGCGAAAUCAGACAUAAAUGCGCCUUUUAUUUGCCCAAAACCUUGAAUCGAGAGAUCGGUCUAUAUGGCAGCUAUAUUCAAAACUGGACCGAUCUUUAUAGGGUCGGAAAUGGAUAUUUCGAUGUGUUGCAAACGGAAUGACAACAUGAAUAUAUCCUAAUCCUUCGGUGGUGGGUGUAAAAUUGAGUUAAAGAAUUUUUGAACCAAAAAUAAAAUAAUAAUAAAUCCAUUUCCAUUUUAUAGCUCUUUUAAUGUUGUGGUCCGCCCAGACCACUCCGCUCAACAACGUAAAAAAAAAUUUUCACCCAUCGUAGGUUUAAAAACCAUUUGUCAUAAUACAGUGAAAAACGCAUCAUCAAUGAACCCAUAGCAGCUAUAUCUAAAUAUAGACCGAUCUUCACCAUAUUCAAGAAGGCUAUGUAAGGGUCAAACACAACUCGUUGUACCACAUUCAUCGGUUAAAAAAUGCACCUUUGAUGGGCCGAAGAACUUUAAUCGGGAGAUCGUUAUAUGUAUAUAACAGCUAUAUCCAAAUAUAGACCGAUCUGAACCAUAUUGAACACGAAUGUCGAGGAGCCUAAUACAGUCCACUGUGUCACAUUCCAGCGAAAUCGAGUAAUAAACAUUCUUUUAUUGUCACAAGAACAUAAGUCGGGAAAUCGGUAUAUAUGACAGCUAUAUCCAAAUAUAGACCGAUCUUGACCAUACUCGGUACGAAUGGAAAUAACGCAACUCAAUAUGUACAAUUUCAGAAAAAUCGGUUAAUAAAUUCAUCUUUUAUAGGUCUAAAUCUGGUCAAGAGGCCUAACACAACUCACUGUCCUAAAUUUCAGCGAAAUCGGAUAAUAAAUGUAGCUUUAAUGGGCCAAAGACUCUAAAUUGGCAGACCCAUCCUUCGGUGGGAGUAUAACAAUUUAUUCUCAAAAAAGUAGCAAAUGACUCGCGGGGGUACCAUGGGACUUUCGAUGUUUAAAAAGUAUCAAAAAUAAUACUAAGUAUGGACAAAUUAUCAUCCCUGCAUAAGAAUUGUUUAUAUAGUCCGUCGAUACAUGUCAUGGCUAGGGUUGCCAGUACUUUUCCGUCCCUUGUCCCAAUUUCAAGCGAAUAUCCCGCUUGAAGGCACGUAUAUAAAAUUUUUGAAGUUGUAAAAAAUGGAUAGCGAUAUAGGGUCUGUUUUUUAGCAUUAUGCAUUCAGUGCAAGUCAGAUGUACGGAAAAGAUAACCAUUGUCAAGUUGGAUUGGAUAGAUUGUUAUCGUUAUCAUACAAUAACAGUCAAUAACACGUGAUUUGAACCGUAAAUGCAAAUUUUUCUGAUGUUCUCGCCAGUAUUCGAACCCAAGCGCUCAGCGUCAUAGGCGGACAUCUGCGCUACGGUCGCCACCACUGUACCAUUUUGUACUGUAUUGUAUAAAAACAGGGACAUAAUAAUCAAAUGGUACUGUUAGAACUGAUAGAAUUCUGAUAGAAUUUCAGUGCAAAGUUAGUUAUCGAUAUCAUGCGAUUACACAUAAUAACCGGUUAAUCGUAAUUUCCACUAUAUAUUACUGAAACAAAAUAAAGCAAGUAGUACAUUAUACCCACUUACGUUUUCUAGAUGUUUAUCAAAAAUGACUAUGAAUGAAAUACAGGUAAAAACAAAAUUUUGAGCAGAAAAUUACUCCCCAAAAAUCCCUAAUUUUUUCUCAGAUCCCCCAUCGAAUUUCCAUGCCCCCAAGUCAAAAAUGUAGUCCCCAUUUUCGAAUGAGUCAUCAUGACGACUCAUUAGUUAUUAUUCAAAAACGCGUACGCGUGUACGAGCAUUAGAGCAUUUUGUCUAUACCUGUUUUUUAACUCAUAAAACAGUAAUCCUGACGAUUCAUGAGUUACUCUUCAAAAACGCGUACACGCAAUUUUAAAACCUUUUGGGUAUGCCUCAACGUAACUGUUAAAAAUUCUUGCUAUAGGCAGAAAAAUUAUAAAAUUGUCAUUAAAGUUUUGGCAGCGAAAGCGAAUGGUCAUCAUAAAAAAGUGAUUUUAAAAGGUCAUGUUAAUGCAGAGUCUUAGAGGUAUGGUGGCAUUAAAUAAGUUGAUAAUAGUAUAUAUUAAUAUAUUUUGUAUUGCAUUAACUCCUUUCAGAAAUGUAUUUUUCCGAAAAUAUGCCACCAAGCGAGAGUCCCGGAGUUCACUAUCAACAAUUGCAUAAUAUUAAUCCAGACGUAUUAACUUGUCCAAACCGCCCACAACCGACCUAAGCGACAAAAUAGAAGCCAACAAAAAUGAGUUAACGAAAUCCAUCAAAGGUCAACUGGAUGCUCUCAAAGCUAAUAUGGUCAUAUUGACAGAAGAAGUGGUGAUAUUAUGAAAUGAAGUCCGCAAUUUAAGGGCCGAUUCAGUAAUGAUACCACAGAAAAAUUAUAAGGUGUCCAAUAGCCUGUUGACUUUAAAUCUAUAAUUGACAAAAAUAAUAGAUUUAUAGUCGGAAUUGUAACGUCUUUUCUAAAUGCUCGGAGGAGAUGACUUUCCCACUUUUAUAAGAGUUAUGGUAAAAAACUAUUAUGUGAUGACUUGGAAAUGGAGUUCACGUGGAGGGGAAUAAAGAACAAACCAAGCAUCUAAAAAUGUUUCUUCAUUACAGUUAUUAAAGGAACGUAUUUUAUAUUUAUAAAAA